rnacentral:rRNA from 1 species
CGCGCGGCGGGGGCCUACGGGAGGCAGCAGUGGGGAAUAUUGCACAAUGGGCGCAAGCCUGAUGCAGCCAUGCCGCGUGUAUGAAGAAGGCCUUCGGGUUGUAAAGUACUUUCAGCGGGGAGGAAGGGAGUAAAGUUAAUACCUUUGCUCAUUGACGUUACCCGCAGAAGAAGCACCGGCUAACUCCGUGCCAGCAGCCGCGG